rnacentral:RNase_P_RNA from 1 species
CCAGAUUAUCGGUCGAUCGCUCGCUUUGGCGAGAGGAAAGUCCGGGCAGCAAAGGGAAAAGACAGUUGUUAACGGCAACCGGGAGCAAUCCUAGGGAAAGUGCCACAGAAACUAUACAUCUCGCCUCAGGGCGAGUUAAGGUGAAAAGAGUGGGGUAAGAGCCCACAGUUUCUUCAGGUGACUGAAGAGAGAGGUAAACCCUGUCUGCUGCAAGGAAGCGUGUCUGCAAUAGGUUUCCCGCCGUAGGCAUCAUAAAAACCGCUUGAUCCGUCGAGCAAUUGGCGGACUAGAUAGAUGAUCGACUAAGCACCUUCGGGUGUUUAACAGAACCCGGCUUACAGAUAAUCUGGCUUA